CAGCAGCCGCGGUAAUACGUAGGUGGCAAGCGUUGUCCGGAAUUAUUGGGCGUAAAGGGCUCGCAGGCGGUUUCUUAAGUCUGAUGUGAAAGCCCCCGGCUCAACCGGGGAGGGUCAUUGGAAACUGGGAAACUUGAGUGCAGAAGAGGAGAGUGGAAUUCCACGUGUAGCGGUGAAAUGCGUAGAGAUGUGGAGGAACACCAGUGGCGAAGGCGACUCUCUGGUCUGUAACUAACGCUGAGGAGCGAAAGCGUGGGGAGCGAACAGGAUUAGAUACCCGUGUAGUCCCUGUCUCUUAUAC
rnacentral:rRNA from 1 species